rnacentral:rRNA from 1 species
UUUAAUGAGAGUUUGAUCCUGGCUCAGGACGAACGCUGGCGGCGUGCCUAAUACAUGCAAGUAGAACGCUGAGGUUUGGUGUUUACACUAGACUGAUGAGUUGCGAACGGGUGAGUAACGCGUAGGUAACCUGCCUCAUAGCGGGGGAUAACUAUUGGAAACGAUAGCUAAUACCGCAUAAGAGUAAUUAACACAUGUUAGUUAUUUAAAAGGAGCAAUUGCUUCACUGUGAGAUGGACCUGCGUUGUAUUAGCUAGUUGGUGAGGUAAAGGCUCACC